rnacentral:rRNA from 1 species
UGGGGAAUCUUCCGCAAUGGACGAAAGUCUGACGGAGCAACGCCGCGUGUAUGAUGAAGGUCUUCGGAUUGUAAAGUACUGUCUUUAGGGAAGAACGGUAAGGUUGAAAAUAUUGGCCUUGCAUGACGGUACCUAAGGAGGAAGCCCCGGCUAACUACGUGCCAGCAGCCGCGGUAAUACGUAGGGGGCGAGCGUUGUCCGGAAUUAUUGGGCGUAAAGGGCGCGUAGGCGGGUAUUUAAGUCCGGUGUGAAAGAUCAGGGCUCAACCCUGAGAGUGCAUCGGAAACUGGGUAUCUUGAGGACAGGAGAGGAAAGUGGAAUUCCACGUGUAGCGGUGAAAUGCGUAGAUAUGUGGAGGAACACCAGUGGCGAAGGCGACUUUCUGGACUGUAACUGACGCUGAGGCGCGAAAGCGUGGGGAGCAAACA